rnacentral:rRNA from 2 species
AGCUGAAACUUAAAGGAAUUGACGGAAGGGCACCACCAGGAGUGGAGCCUGCGGCUUAAUUUGACUCAACACGGGAAAACUUACCCGGCCCGGACACUGGAAGGAUUGACAGAUUAAGAGCUCUUUCUUGAUUCAGUGGGUGGUGGUGCAUGGCCGUUCUUAGUUGGUGGAGCGAUUUGUCUGGUUAAUUCCGAUAACGAACGAGACUCUAGCCUACUAAAUAGGCGUCCCGAUCACUCCCGUCGGGCGUUCUUCUUAGAGGGACAAGUGGCGUUUAGCCGCACGAGACAGAGCAAUAACAGGUCUGUGAUGCCCUUAGAUGUCCGGGGCCGCACGCGCGCUACACUGAAGGAAUCAGCGUGUGCUUUCCCUGUCCGGUAGGACUGGGUAACCCGUUCAACCUCCUUCGUGAUAGGGAUAGGGGCUUGUAAUUGUUCCCCUUGAACGAGGAAUUCCCAGUAAGCACGAGUCAUAAGCUCGUGUUGAUUACGUCCCUGCCCUUUGUACACACCGCCCGUCGCUACUACCGAUUGAAUGAUUUAGUGAGGUCUUCGGACUGGCACUCGGAGCGGCCGCCAGGUCGCGCCGGCUUGCCGGAAAGAUGACCAAACUUGAUCAUUUAGAGGAAGUAAAAGUCGUAACAAGGUUUCC